rnacentral:rRNA from 1 species
GGGGGGAGCAAGCGUUGUUCGGAAUUACUGGGCGUAAAGGGUGCGCAGGCGGGAAAUCAGGUCGGAUGUGAAAACCUUGGGCUCAACCCAGGGCCUGCAUUCGAAACCGAUUUUCUUGAGUAUCGGAGAGGAAAGCGGAACUCCAGGUGUAGCGGUGAAAUGCGUAGAUAUCUGGAGGAACACCGGUGGCGAAGGCGGCUUUCUGGACGAAUACUGACGCUCAUGCACGAAGGCUAGGGGAGCAAACAGGAUUAGAUACCCUGGUAGUCCUAGCGGUAAACGAUGGGCACUAGGUAUCGGGGGUAUCGACCCCCUCCGGUGCCGCAGCUAACGCAUUAAGUGCCCCGCCUGGGGAGUACGAUCGCAAGAUUG